rnacentral:rRNA from 1 species
GUGCCAGCCGCCGCGGUAAUACGUAGGGUGCAAGCGUUAAUCGGAAUUACUGGGCGUAAAGCGUGCGCAGGCGGUUUUGUAAGUCUGUCGUGAAAGCCCCGGGCUCAACCUGGGAAUUGCGAUGGAGACUGCAAGGCUUGAAUCUGGCAGAGGGGGGUAGAAUUCCACGUGUAGCAGUGAAAUGCGUAGAGAUGUGGAGGAACACCGAUGGCGAAGGCAGCCCCCUGGGUCAAGAUUGACGCUCAUGCACGAAAGCGUGGGGAGCAAACAGGAUUAG